GAGACAUUCAUGAGGGAUCUGACCCCAUGACCUAAACACCUCCCACCAGGCCCCACACUGGGGAUGGCAUUUCAACGUGAGAUUUGAAGGGGACAAACAUAGAAGCCACGAUUGGCACUACAAUUACCUUUAUUUUAUGAAAGAGAAACUGAGUCUUAGAGAUGAAGAACUUUCAAGGACCAGCCACGUAGAAGACUGUGGCACAGGGAAAGAAAGCAGAAACUUCCAUUCUACCACCCAUGCUUGCUGCAAUUUUCUUGUCACCAUCAUUGGCUGCAUCCUUCCAAUGAGUGAUAUUCAAAUGACAUUUAGCAGGCAGAAGGAAAAGCCAUGUUUUCUGUUGUGUUUUUGAAUGCUGACCCGGGGUUGGCCUCCAGGUGCAGUGUUGAGGAAACCAUGUACUGGUACAUGGCAGCUGAAGUUAUGCAUUUUUGCUUCUUUGCAAUUUCUGCAUUUCCAGGCAAGAGACAAUGCUGAUGCUACAGCACUGGAGCUUAGAAUUCACACUUCAUUGAUAACAUGCAUAACUUUUUGAAAUAUCUUCUAAGUAAACACUUUUUAAAAUAUUGGGGUAGAAAACUAUAUGCAGCUAGGCAUGGUGGCUCACACCUGUAACCUAAACACUUUGAGAGGCCAAGGCGGGAGGAUUGCUUGAGACUAGGAGUUCAAGACCAGCUUGGGGCAACAUGGU
ensembl:lncRNA novel transcript